rnacentral:lncRNA from 1 species
GCUCUGAGACAGAAGGAGCCCAGCUGCAGAGAAUCUAGGCCACUGUGACUUGGUCUUCCCCUCUCUGGGAUAUCACAAAGGCCAUAUGAGUGCGUAUGCUCUAACUGCUGCCACAGAAGGGAUGCAGAGGAAGACGGUCAGUUACCCAGAGGGUGAUAUCUUUGACUUAAUGUUCACCAUAAAGACAGCUAUCAACAAAAGACUUGAAUUCUAACUUGUUAUCUAUUGCAGGAAAGUGCCUGCAAUAUGCCAUUGUGACAAGGCACCAUCAAUCAUCAUGUCCCUUUACCAGGAGGGCCCGUGUCAUAAGCCACUAUAUAAAGGGAAUGAUGGGUGGACUGCUUUGGACAAAUGGACCUGCGGUAGGAGAGAGGGACAACAGUAGGAGCAGGCAGAUCUUGCUGUUUCAACCAAAACCUCAUGCUGACCAGAGUUGAGGAACAGAAGAAGAUGGUGAAGGCCUGCAGGUAUAGGUGUUCAGCAUGUCAUCUGAAAUAUUCCCCACAGAGGCAAAAAGAAAGGAAAUUAUCUCUGAAAAGGAAUGGGAGGACAAGUCAGCAGAAUAUGUCAAUGUUUUGGUUGAAGAAGCUGCUUGAAUCUGGGCUUUUCUGUGCCAUGUGUUCUCCCAGGGCCAGCACAAAGAAGGGCUUUUGGUGCAGGCCCAAGACCACCAUAAUCAUCAUUGAUUAUUCCUCUCCACGCCAGUGUCUCUAAAUAAACUUUCUCUUCUUUCUCU